UACGUAGGGGGCAAGCGUUGUCCGGAUUUAUUGGGCGUAAAGAGCGUGUAGGCGGCUUUGCAAGUCCGUUGUGAAAACUCGAGGCUCAACCUCGAGACGCCGGUGGAAACUGCAAAGCUAGAGUCCGGAAGAGGAGAGUGGAAUUCCUGGUGUAGCGGUGAAAUGCGCAGAUAUCAGGAAGAACACCCGUGGCGAAGGCGGCUCUCUGGGACGGUACUGACGCUGAGACGCGAAAGCGUGGGGAGCGAACGGG
rnacentral:rRNA from 1 species